CACGUAGGGUGCGAGCGUUGUCCGGAAUUAUUGGGCGUAAAGAGCUCGUAGGCGGUGUGUCGCGUCGGCCGUGAAAACCUGCAGCUUAACUGUGGGCUUGCGGUCGAUACGGGCAUCACUGGAGUUCGGCAGGGGAGACUGGAAUUCCAGGUGUAGCGGUGAAAUGCGUAGAUAUCUGGAGGAACACCGGUGGCGAAGGCGGCGUUCUGGACUGCAACUGACACUGAGGAACGAAAGCCAGGGGAGCAAACGGG
rnacentral:rRNA from 1 species